rnacentral:misc_RNA from 1 species
GUGAAUCAUCAAAUCUUUGAACGCAAAUUGCACUCUCUGGUAUUCCUGAACGUAUGCCUGUUUCAGGGUCAGUUAAAUAAAAAUCGUUGUUGUUGCUGCUUUUCGUGGUGACGCGUCGGAAUUGUGUUGUAUUACUUUCGGUUAAGUGACUUAAAAUUUUGCAUGAAUUUCGAGAGUAUUUAAAUUUCUUACGUACACUUGAGAUAUCGAAUACUUUAUUAGGUUCGGUCAUUGUCAUGAUUCGCAUCUAUAAUUAUUCCGUAAAUGACCUUCAUUCAGGUAAGAACACCCGCUGAACUUA